UACAGAGGUCCCAAGCGUUGUUCGGAUUCACUGGGCGUAAAGGGUGCGUAGGCGGUCGGGUAAGUCUGAUGUGAAAUCUCACAGCUUAACUGUGAAACUGCAUUGGAUACUAUCCGACUCGAGGAAUGGAGGGGAGACUGGAAUUCUCGGUGUAGCAGUGAAAUGCGUAGAUAUCGAGAGGAACACCAGUGGCGAAGGCGAGUCCCUGGACAGGUCCUGACGCUGAGGAACGAAAGCCAGGGUAGCGAAAGGG
rnacentral:rRNA from 1 species